rnacentral:rRNA from 1 species
AUUGAACGCUGGCGGCAGGUCUAACACAUGCAAGUCGUACGAGUGGCGGACGUGUGAGUAAUGUCUGGGAACCUGCCCGCUGGAGGGGGAUAACUAGUGAAAACGGUAGCUAAUACCGCAUACCAUCGGAGGUGCCCAGUUGGGAGUAGCUAGGAGGUGGGGUAACGGCUCACCUAGGCGACGGUCCCUAGCUGGUCUGAGAGGAUGACCAGCCACACGGGAACUGAGACACGGUCCAGACUCCUACGGGAGGCAGCAGUGGGGAAUAUUGCACAAUGGGCGCAAGCCUGAUGCAGCCAUGCCGCGGGUAUGAAGAAGGCCUUCGGGUUGUAAAGUACUUUCAGCGAGGAGGCGUUACUCGAAGAAGAAGCACCGGCUAACUCCGUGCCAGCAGCCGCGGUAAUUC